rnacentral:lncRNA from 1 species
GUGACAGAGUCUCAUAAAGCUAGUAGUGUUUAAUGUUCUGUUCUGUGCAUGGACACCUAUCUUUGAUAGGUUGCCUUACUAAAAUAUUUAAUACCUACUUAACUACGGCUAGGAAAACUGAGAUAUGUAAAGAUUAUUUCUCCUAUAGAGACAUUCAACAAAAUGCCAGCAACGGAUGUAGGCUCAUCAUUCAUAAACUGGUAGGUCAAUAUAUUAUUCACUAAGCAAUUGUUUUUACCUCUGCAGUCACUCUAUUUAUUAUAAGCAGUUAUUUCACAGCUUCCGAUAAAGUGAAAGUUUAAAUAAUUUCGCUCCGGAUUUUAACUCGCAAAUGGAAUCUAUGAACAAUUCUAUCUUGCAGAGUUAUAUAGCCGUUCCACAAAACUUCUUUAGUUGCAUCAUUGUGUACCGUUGAAGGUUAUAAACGUAUUCUUUUACUAUCAAGAACUUGAGGAUUUUAGCCAUGUUAAGGCAUUUCUAAAGCAAAAUCAGCUUGUGGGAAGCGUAAACCAAAUGCAUUUACAUUUCUGGAUUCGAAUGCUCAUCAGCCGGUUUAAAGAUAUAAUCCUUGCCUCUAACUUCCUUGUAUCACUCGGGGAUGCUGACAGCUAAUCACCAAUUAAUCAUUUUUUGUUAAAUUGAUAAUUAAGUGACGCUAAACAGGAUAAAUGCUAGCUAGAUUAAAAUAAAGCAGCAACUAUACACCUUGCAUAAGAGAGAUGCUAAAUGAGGCAUAGUACAAUAGAUUUACACUUACCAUAUACAGUUGCUAUACCUGUCCAUUUUGAACACCACUCAAACAGGAUAGUUCUUAUUUUUGCUUUAUCUUUUUUUUCUUUUUUUAAGUGAUUUUGUUCUGUAUCAAGUGAUUUGGUUUGAUACAUAUAAGAACUGUAGUAAGCAGAAUAAUAGUUACCAGAAAGAUAGGAAAAGACUAAAGUUUUCGGCAUCAGCUCUUUCAUUGAAGAAGAGAAAUAGAGGGCCACGUAUUGUAGAGGAGAAUAUAUUUUUCCUAAUCUUAAAACAUCCCUAAUCUCUUUUAUUUCUAUUGGAUUUUAAAAUACGAUUGUGAAUUAAUGCGCUCUGUUCUUGUUAUAUUUAGGUGCUUAUUUGACAAAAGAUUAAUUAAAUAUAUCUAUGAUGAAAUGUAUUCUGAUUGUGACCAAUUCGUUUUCUUCUAUAUCGUGGACUAAAUUGUCCUAUAUCUCUCUAUUAUUUCCAUUGUUUUUUUUUAAAUAAGAUUCUUCAGUCAUAUUAAUACACUGCGUAAAAUUUUUGUCAGUCACUUAUUUAACACCAGGUCAUCUUUAAUUGAACAGCUCUAUGAUCAAUUCCGUUCUAGCAGUGACCAUCCUACAUUAGCGUGCAGCAGAUCAGAUAUUUUCUCAAACAUUCCUCUUAUUUAAGAAAGUAUCCUGUUUAAUGCAGAUUUAUUUUAUAUUUCUUGUACAGAAAGUCGAUCCACCACAUACGCAAUCUGAUCAAUAAGUAUCCGGACUGUUGCCAUGGAAACGAUGCUAAAGCACGACGAUGAACCUUAAACACUGCUGUGUAUGCACACUAAGUUUUAAUGUUCUCGCUCACUACUGCUAUUUACAGCAGUACUUGGAAGGAAGGUGUGUAGCGUGUGAUCAUCGCAUUGACCAUGGCAGAGAAAGUUGUCAUGAGGAUACCUACUCAAAGGCUUACGCAAAGUUGCAGAAAGUGUAUGGAGAGGAGUGUAUGAGCCGCACACAGGUGUAGGAGUAGUUCAGACAUUUCCAAGAUGGUGGAAAAUGUCGAUAUUGAUGAAUGUUCUGAGAGACCCGCAACCAGCAGAACUGAGAAAAACAUCACAGAUGUGCAUGCAGCUGUGAGGGGAAAUCGUGAGUUAUCAGAUGCGCGGAUUAGUUGCUGUUCAGUUCAGUCCGUUAUUGCUGAAGAUUUGGGUAUGAGACGGGUGUCUCACAUGUUUGUGCCCAAACCGCUUUCAGCUGACCAAAAAGACACACGGGUUUCAGUUCCACAAGAUUUCUUUGAACGAUGAAAACUUGAAAAAUUUGGCCUCUGAGCAGGUAUUGCCAAGCUUUUUGCAAAAUUUGAUGCAGAUCCUCUACUCGACUUUCUCUGUCAUGGUCAACGCAAUGAUCACACGCUACACACGUUCCUUCUAAGCACUGCUGUAAACAGUAAAAGUGAGCUAGAACGUUAAAACUUACUGCUCAUACACGGCAGAGCUGAAAGUCAAUCUGUACCAAGCGGUUUCUCUCUGUGUGAUUUAGCUUCAUUACUAUGGCAACAGUUUGAUACUUAUUGAUCAAACCACGUAGUCGAUCCCUCGCAAGCAUAUUUGUUUCCUUUACAAGUAGUAGUAGUAGUAGUAGUAGUAGCAAUAGUAGUAGUAGUUUUCGCUAGGUCAGUCCUAACUGAACAGGCGUAUAUCCGAAGACAUUCUGGACAUGACUAUUCCAUUUUUUAAGGGUUAUAUAGGAUUACAUUAUAUAACGUAUCAUUUCCUUAUUUAUGAUAGCAAGCUGAUUUCAUGAUCAUUUGACUGUAAUUUCUAGCUAGGAGACUGAACACUAAUAAACGAAUAAACAAAAGAGCCUCUACUCGGUUGCUUGACCUGCUACAUACAGCAGGAAAAUUUGUUUCAAAUCACACCAUAAGGUGGGGGUUUUUUUUCAGAAACGUACACGCUGGAUGAAUUUCCACUGAGUUUUCAGCAUGUAAGAAAAACGAAGGACGGUCAUGGUUAACCUGAGCUUAAAUAAUAAGGACAAAAGCAAUGACGUAACCCUAUGUAAACCUAAAAAGACGCGAUCGUCAUGAAUAGAAUUUGAUUUUAGUCCUGACUAAUGAAAACAAAUCUAAGGUAAAAACACUAAUAAUUAGAUAUUAUUUCGAACUUAGACACAAGGACAGCAUAUUUUUAGGGAAGAAAGCCUCAGUGCUCGACUAGUAGUAUUUCGAUUGAGCCACCGGUUCCCACAUAGCAUUUCUUUUAUCGACUCCAAAA